AACGCGAAGAACCUUACCUGGGCUCGAAAUAUAGAGGACGACAACAGAGAUGUUGUCUCCCGCAAGGGCUUUUAUAUAGGUGCUGCAUGGCUGUCGUCAGCUCGUGCCGUGAGGUGUUUGGUUAAGUCCAGCAACGAGCGCAACCCUUAUCGUUAGUUGCCAACAUGUAAAGGUGGGAACUCUAACGAGACUGCCUGGGUUAACCAGGAGGAAGGUGAGGAUGACGUCAAGUCCGCAUGGCCUUUAUGUCCAGGGCUACACACGUGCUACAAUGGUCGGUACAGAAGGCUGCGAAACCGUAAGGCGAAGCAAAUCCUCUAAAACCGAUCUCAGUUCAGAUUGUAGUCUGCAACUCGGCUACAUGAAGUUGGAAUUGCUAGUAAUGGCGUGUCAGCAACAACGCCGUGAAUACGUUCCCGGGCCUUGUA
rnacentral:rRNA from 1 species